UGCCAGCAGCCGCGGUAAUACGAAGGGACCUAGCGUAGUUCGGAAUUACUGGGCGUAAAGCGAGCGUAGGCGGUUAGUCAAGUUGGUGGUGAAAGCCCAGAGCUUAACUCUGGAACUGCCAUUAAAACUUUUCAGCUAGAGUAUGAUAGAGGAAAGCAGAAUUUCUAGUGUAGAGGUGAAAUUCGUAGAUAUUAGAAAGAAUACCAAUUGCGAAGGCAGCUUUCUGGAUCAUUACUGACACUGAGGAACGAAAGCAUGGGUAGCGAAGAGGAUUAGAUA
rnacentral:rRNA from 1 species